CUCCACUUGACAAUCGCCCUACGGAUAUCCUACAAUUACGAACACCACCUUUGUGUGGCCUGUCAUCUACUCUAGUCAUCGCUCUAAGCGAUGGCCGAUAAACGAGAAGCCUCACGGUGCAUGAGCUCACUUUGCUUGUGAUUUGUUCCUGUCAUCCAUAAUACCGAUCUGCCAUGACAACAGAUGCAUCGCGGGUUGUCUUAACGACUCUCGGGCCACCUACUCCUCACCACAUCUCGGCAGACAGACAACAGGUUCAAAACACGAAAGCGGCUUUGUUUUAAACAAACAGAUUUAUUCGAUAUCACAGUCCACCAGGCAAUGUGUCCGCCGCAAACUCCCUGUCCAUUUUUUUGUUGAACGGCAGUGACUUACGUUCACUUGCGACAUCGAAUAGCGACAAAAUGUUCAACUGUAAUUCCAUCAAUCACCCCGCGCCAUUAAGGACCAGCUUUACGCUCACCUUAAGCCUGCAGCAGCGACUUCUGCCGGGACAGCUAAACUGCACUUCGCAAGCUGUCGUCUUCUCCACAAAAUUUAUUUUUUUUUUUCAUUCCCCGCAUCUGCCUUUACCAGCCCGAGUGACUUUUGUUGUAAUACCACCCGAACCUGCGUCAGUCCAGAUGCAUGCGGAUUCGAAAAUAAAUUGGGCGCCAUUUGUUACACUUGGCUUGUUUCCCAGGGGGCAAUGCCGGCUAGCUGUCGACCCCAGGGCUGGGUAGUUCCCCUUGCCCGCCAAAUGUAGACAAAAAAAGGAGACAUCUAACUUCUCGGGACAUCAAAACUAACAACAACCUAAAGACAAAGAAAAUCAUAAACAGACGGCUAUCAAGUGGGUGAAGCUUGGGUGUUAUCACUUCGCGCGCCCGCCCUACCUGUGACCAAACACAACGUUCAUUUUGGCCACCCCCUACUGGAACGGCUGCGGCUGGCCUAAUCCAUGGCUUACGCCACGCGUCCUCCCUCUAUUUUAAUUUACUGCAUCAUGU